UCCCUGGUGACUCAGAUGGUAAAGAAUCUGCCUGCAAUGAAGAAGACCCAGGUUCAAUCCCUGGGUGGGGAA
rnacentral:tRNA from 1 species